GGCCUCUCAGGGUCUCAACUGGAGAGCUUCAAGUACUGUACCAGUCUCGGCUACAGAAGGGAGAGUCAAGCAGAGGCCUACCCAUUCCAUUCCUAGCUUGGCCAGUGGCUAGUGAGUGGAAGACAAUCUGCUACAAGU